rnacentral:rRNA from 1 species
UACAGAGGUCUCAAGCGUUGUUCGGAUUCAUUGGGCGUAAAGAGCUCGUAGGCGGUUCGGCAAGUCGGAUGUGAAAUCUCCACGCUCAACGUGGAGGGGCCAUUCGAAACUGCCGUGACUCGAGUCCGGUAGGGGAGUGCGGAAUUCCCGGUGUAGCGGUGAAAUGCGCAGAUAUCGGGAGGAACACCAGUGGCGAAGGCGGCACUCUGGGCCGGAACUGACGCUGAGGAGCGAAAGCGUGGGGAGCGAACAGG